rnacentral:rRNA from 1 species
UACGGAGGGGGCUAGCGUUGUUCGGAAUUACUGGGCGUAAAGCGCACGUAGGCGGACCUGCAAGUCGGGGGUGAAAGCCCGAGGCUCAACCUCGGAACUGCCUUCGAUACUGCGGGUCUCGAGUCCGGGAGAGGUGAGUGGAAUUCCUAGUGUAGAGGUGAAAUUCGUAGAUAUUCGCAAGAACACCAGUGGCGAAGGCGGCUCACUGGCCCGAUACUGACGCUGAGGCACGAAAGCGUGGGGAGCAAACAGG